CAACUCUCAUUCUACACCGUUGGAUCGAGAAAUAGACGUCCGGGAUUCGUCCACGUCACCCUGAGUUAAAAUUUAACUCGCAGAUUCACUCAUGAGUUAAAAUUUACUGAGAGUUAAAUUUUAACUCAUGGUGACGUAGACGAAUCUCGAACGUCCAUUUCUCGAUCUAACGGUGUAGGAUGAAAAUUA
rnacentral:pre_miRNA from 1 species